rnacentral:rRNA from 1 species
CCUACGGGUGGCAGCAGUGAGGAAUAUUGGUCAAUGGGCGCGAGCCUGAACCAGCCAAGUAGCGUGAAGGAUGACUGCCCUACGGGUUGGAAACUUCUUUUAUAAAGGAAUAAAGUGAGGAACGUGUGCCCUUUUGUAUGUACUUUAUGAAUAAGGAUCGGCUAACUCCGUGCCAGCAGCCGCGGUAAUACGGAGGAGCCGAGAGUUAUCCGGAUUGAAGGGGUUUAAAGGGAGCGUAGAUGGGUUGUUAAGUCAGUUGUGAAAGUUUGCGGCUCAACCGUAAAAUUGCAAUUGAUACUGGCAGCUUUGAGUACAGUUGAGGUAGGCGGAAUUCGUGGUGUAGCGGUGAAAUGCUUAGAUAUCACGAAGAACUCCGAUUGCGAAGGCAGCCUACUAAACUGCCACUGACAUUGAUGCUCGAAAGUGUGGGUAUCAAACAGGAUUAGAUACCCCAGUAGUC